AUACUUACAUGGCAGGGGAGAUACAAUGAUCGUGAACGUGGUUUUCUCAGGUCGAGGCUUAUCCACUGCAUCCAGAUAUGCUGACCUCUGACAUGUCCCAAAUGUAGAAGACACACCUGCAUCAUUUGUGGCAAUGGGAGAUUAUAUUCAUAUUCUCUGU